rnacentral:rRNA from 1 species
GACGAACCGUGCGAACGUUGUUCGGAAUCACUGGGCUUAAAGGGCGCGUAGGCGGGCUGCCGCGUCCGGGGUGAAAUCCCACGGCUCAACCGUGGAACUGCCUCGGAUACGGGCGGUCUUGAGGGGGUAGGGGCACGCGGAACUGUGGGUGGAGCGGUGAAAUGCGUUGAUAUCCACAGGAACUCCGGUGGCGAAGGCGGCGUGCUGGACCCCAUCUGACGCUGAGGCGCGAAAGCCAGGGGAGCAAACGGG